UUAGAAUGGCGAUAAUUCCGAACAUGAAGAUGUUCUUCUUGAUUAUUUACAACAACGGAAUCAAUCCUUGCAAGAGGUGAAUAAGAAGAGUAUCAGGAACACGAGAAACGGUGAAAAUCAAGAGUGACAUCAGCAAGUUGUUUGUUUAUGAUUUUUGGGUGUUAUGUAUGACACAAAAAGUCGUGCGAUCGAAAUAAGAAAAGCUGCUUCAACUUUAGUUUGGUUGCACGGCUCAGAUAAAAUGUGGAGAAAUUCUAGGAUGGGAGGAGCCUGCUGUACUAUCGUAGCGUCUGAUCCUUCCACGUCAAACUCAAAUGAGAUCGUUCAGCUGGUUUUUCGUCCAAGGGUAAAUGACUGACCGAUUAAAUGAUUUGCCAUUCCAUAUUAGGUUAUAUUUUAAAGAAAAAGAUACGAAUGUUGUUAGAUCUUAUUUUUGGCGACUACAUUUCUUUAUCUACAGGUUAUAGCAGAGGCGUGAUUCGCUUAAUCAUGUUGAGAUUUGUCUUAAUUCAGUCAAAGGAUAAUUAAACAGGAAAAAUCGAG